UGCCGUGAGGCAGAAUCUGAAGGAAGCUGUCGGCAAACCUCUGGCCUGACGAAGAGAAAUCGCGUACAAGGCUCCAAGCGAGGGCAAGGCUCCCAGACAAGUCGAAGCCCCAAAGCUACACGGAAUCGCUUGGGGUAAAUGCGGCAGGUAGAUGGAGGGAAAGAAUGU
rnacentral:ncRNA from 1 species